rnacentral:lncRNA from 1 species
GUCACCCGGUCAGGAGGAAGCCGCGCGGAUCCGGGCGGCUCACAGGAGCUGCGGAACCCCCUCUGUUUCGUGGAUUUCCUUCUCGCCUGCUCUCCGGGUGUCCCAGACGGGGCUGCAAGACCCGGAGGCAGCGAGAGGACCGCGUCCCCGAGAGAGGGGCUGCACGGCGCGCCCGGGCCGUCCCCCGGGCUCCCAGCUCUGUCCAGCCGCCCGCGACCGCUGCAGGCGCCUGGACAGCUCCUCCUGGGGACCGGGGAAAGCGCUCUUGGGACCCAGGCCGAAUGCUCCCGUUUGGGCACAGCCUGGGGGCCGGGGCGCCCCAGACGCUCCAGGGUCCCCGCCUGCCUUAAGCGUCUACCUCCUCCCCUUCACCCCACAACACGCGCUCUCUGGGCCCCCUUUCACCCACCCACCCCCAAUUUCUAUCUCCUUGUAAUCUGUGUGUCCUGCUUUAAUGUUGGGGGGCACGGGCGCGAACUCUGGGUCACUUUGACCCCACGCCCAGCACGUAGUAGGCGCCCAGCACUCGUGUGGAGCGACUCUGGGAGGAAAACUAGGAAGGAGACCUGAGGAGCGCCCCGCUCAGCUCCCUGGACAGACGUAGGACCCAGGAGCAGGGUUAAUCCUCGGCUGCUUUGUCACUGCGAAGUCUCCAGCGGAGUCUGUCAGCCAAUCUGCAUCAUCCCCGGGAAGGAUCUGACCCAACAAGACAAGGGAAAAGGAGCAGGGCUGCUACUUCUUCAGCAGCUCUCCUCGGUUCGGUCUCCGAAUAAGAAAUAACAAUUACAUCACGAGGCCGGGGCGGCAGCGCGGUGGAGCCUCUCGGUUUCCUGCAGCCUAAUCUCACUGAACCCGCCUCUAAAUUGGGGGGGCCACAGAUUGGUGAAACGAGAAAGUGGAAGGAGGAGAGAGUCAUACGAAACCAUAAUUUCCCCUUAUCCUUGUAUUUGCUGUUUGAAAAAUCGUAUCCUCAACGCUCCCCAGACAUCUCACUAGAACUAUUAACACCCCCUCAACACCUCCCCAGAUGUCAGGUUUCUUUUUGACUUGAGCAUCUAGCAUUUAGUAAUUCGCCAUGAAAAAAAUUACCAGGGGAAGCGAGUGUUGUUGCUGAAAUUGUUUUUGCUUGACACAAAAAAGCUAAAGUACAGCUUAGUCUCACCCGAAAUUCUGAAACGGCAUGCCCGUGUUAAAACACUUAUUACAUAAGACAAAUGAGCCGAUGAGGCACUCCAUUCUUAUAUGUAGGUUUUCAUAUCCUGAAGAAUUUGAUAGCAUUUGGAAAUGAAGUUGCUAAUGCGCUUAAAAAACAAAAACUAUCCAAGUCAUGAAACUGUAUUCUGUGCCUGUUAUGUAAUGGCUGUAUUGUGUAUUGCAAAUUUCACUUAACCUUUAAACAAUAUGAAUGAGAGUUUUA